rnacentral:rRNA from 1 species
CCUACGGGUGGCUGCAGUCGAGAAUCAUUCACAAUGGGGGAAACUCUGAUGGUGCGACGCCGCGUGGGGGAAUGAAGUUCUUCGGAUUGUAAACUCCUGUCAUGUGGGAGAAAAUUAUAACGAUAGUACCACAAUAUGCAUAGACUGCUAACUCUGUGCCAGCAGCCGCGGUACUACAGAGGGCGCAAGCGUUGUUCGGCAGCACUGGGCGUAAAGCGUGCGUAGGCUGUUUAGUAAGUCGUGUGUGAAAGGCGCGGGCUCAACCCGCGGACGGCACAUGAUACUGCGAGACUAGAGUAAUGGAGGGGUAAGCGGAAUUCGCGGUGUAGCAGUGAAAUGCGUAGAUAUCGAGAGGAACACUCGUGGCGAAGGCGGGUUCCUGGACAGUAACUGACGCUGAGGCACGAAAGCCAGGGGAGCGAAAGGGAUUAGAUACCCCAGUAGUC